rnacentral:rRNA from 1 species
UACGGGGGGGCAAGCGUUGUUCGGAAUUACUGGGCGUAAAGGCUCGUAGGCGGCCAACUAAGUCCGACGUGAAAUCCCCAGGCUUAACCUGGAACUGCGUCGGAUACUGGAUGGCUUGAAUCCGGGAGAGGAUGCGGAAUUCCAGGUGUAGCGGUGAAAUGCGUAGAGAUCCGGAGGAACACCAAGGCGAAGGCAGUGUCCUGGGGAGUACCUGACGCUCGAGGUGCGAAAGCCAGGGGAGCGAACGGG